UUCCGCGCGUCCACCCCGCUGCCCUCAAUUGCUUCGUAGGCCGCUCGCGCGUUUUUCCUCGGACGAGUGUGUGUCGGCGUCGCCUGGAAAUUCUACGAAGCGUGUCGCCGCUAUUCCGGCCGACUCCUUCUCUCUCUCUCUCUCUCUUCUCUUUUAUCUUGUGUGCGCGGCGGCUACCUCUCCUUUUUUAUUUAGCUCGUAGUAGCGCCGGACAUCGGGCGGGUUCUUGUCUUCAACGACCGGUAACGAGACUCCGCACAAAGUCACGGAACGCGUAUACGUGCGAGCACGCGAAACCAAGAGCAAGACGGAAGAUACAAAGUACGACGUAAUCACCUCGGAACGGAGUACAUAUUCGCUUGGAGCGAUUGAGCCGUUCAAGACAAUUUUUGCGGUUCACAAGGUCAUAAAUCCGCGGGGAUUCAGCGAUAUCGGGAACGGAAGGAGGAGAUUGGCAGAGGGAGAGCGGGAGACAAAAUAGGCGCACGUGUGCGCAACAAUCUACGCACACGUGCGAGGAGGGGCGGCGGUCGUUUGCCGUCGGUGUCGUCGGAAGGCAAAGGAUGUGUGUGCAGACUGUACUACAAGGGCGACACGUCGUUCCGGCGGGAUGUAGGAGUUCGCAAAGUUCGUAUUGAUCGUCUUCUGGCGGGUCACGUGCGCGUUCCUGGGAACGCUCGAUCCGGGCUAUACCCACGGGAAUCGACUCCAACCCCGUGUCUCUUGACGUUCUCUCUCUCUCUCUCUCUCUUUUCCUCUUCCCCUUUCCUUCCUGUGCCCGCUUUUCAUCCACCCGUUUGAGCGAGAUAGCGAGCGAACAAGGGGAUGCAUUUAUUACCCCUUGGAGAAUUUGAACAAUCCUCUAAGAGCAUCCAUCAAUAACAUUUAAGUAUAUUAAUCCUUCAUUCAGAAAUGUUACUUUCAAGAUGUGCAAUUUUUUCUCUUAUCUAUUCUAGAUAAAUUAAAGAAAUAUUAAAAUCUUGAAAAAGUGAAAUCGAUAUUACAUAUAAAAUCUAGAGGAUGAAAAAGUUACAGUAUUUGAUCAUGAUGUUUCAGGGUCGAUAUGAUUACUGGCUCAGUUUUCAUUCUUGUAUCUAUAUUCUUAUCACUCUAAUAUAGUAUUUAUAGUAACAAAAAGAUCAAUUUUACAUGUCGGCAUUCGUAAACGAAUGCUUGUUACUACUCCCCAAAUAGAUGUAAUCAAAUUUUCUGUGUAAUAAAUAAUCGUGCCAUGCACUUUAAAUAAGAAAUGUUUAACAAGAUAUACAAUACUUUUCGUUUUGAUGCAAUUUCAGAGAUAAUCACUUGUGAUAUAUAAAGUUAAAUCUCUCUCUUAUAUAUGAAAACCUCUUUUGAUACAAAGGUAGUGGACUAUUCGGUAGCGACUGCUGAUGCUUUACUGAUAAUGGAAAUGGAGGCUGACUCACUACCGGGAUCGUUCUUUCCUCGGCACGUGCGGCCAUCAACUAUAGGGGGAUUGCAUCCCAUGACAGUCGACACGAAAAAUGUCGCAAUAUCUUGUGUGGAAGAGUCCACUUUCAUUUUUAUUCCUCAAAAUAAUUUCACGUAGAAAAUAUUUAUCAUACAAAAAUUUCGAACGAUUAAAUUUAUAUCUAAAAAUAUAUGUAUCAUCAUAUUUUUAGAUAUAAAUUAUAUACAUUGUAUGUAUAUGAUGUUAUAUGUAAAAAAAAUAUGUAUAUGUGUAUGUAUAAAAAAAUAUUUAAUAUCUUGUGUUAUCCUGAAAAAAAUUACACAUAUUCUCUUUUACAACGUGAUUUCAAAACUUAAUAAAAUUUGAGCAAAUUGUAAACUCGAUAUUUCUCUGCAAAUGUGUAGCACGAUAGAAAAAAUACAGAAAAACACGAGACACUACAGGUAAUUUUAGAGUAAAAGUUUUGAGAAGGUUAUAUCGGAGGAUGAAAAAGAAUCUAGAUUAAGAGUUUCCAAUGUUUUGAUUAUAAUGACAAAAUUAUAAGUAGCAUUUUCUUUACUACGAGUACAAGGGAGUUAGUUGAAAAAUGUUUAAAAUAAUUAUGGCACAUAUAACUGCAUUCAACAUUAAUACUUCAAAUAAACAAUCAUAUCAUCAACUGUCUAUAUUAUAGACUGCAAUUUGUACAUAUUACUGGAAAUUACAUACUACAUAAUACAUUUUAUAUUAUAAGGAUUUUAAAGCUGGUGCGCUGAAGCAUCGUUCUGUUAAAUAUGAAAGUUUAAGAAACAUGUCUGUGUAAAAAAAAA